CCUACGGGAGGCUGCAGUGGGGAAUAUUGGGCAAUGGGCGCAAGCCUGAACCAGCAACGCCGCGUGAAGGAAGAAGGCUCUACGGUUGUAAAAUUCUUUUCUCAGGGACGAAAAAAGUGACGGUACCUGAGGAAUAAGCCACGGCUAACGAUGUGCCAGCAGGCGCGGUAAUACGUAGGUGGCAGGCGUGAUUCGGAUUUAUUGGGUUUAAGGGGCGUUUGGGCGGGAGCGGAAGGCAGAUGUUAAAAGUGAGGGCUGAACCCUGUGCCUGCAUUUGAAACUGUGUUUCUUGAGUGCGGGAGAGGUAAGCGGAAUGCGGGGUGUAGCGGUGAAAUGCGUAGAUAUACCGAGGAACACCAGUGGCGAAGGCGGAGUGCUGGACAGUAACUGACGCUGAUGCGCGAAAGCGUGGGUAGCAAACAGGAUUAGAUACCCUUGUAGUC
rnacentral:rRNA from 1 species